rnacentral:rRNA from 1 species
GAUGAACGCUGGCGGCGUGCCUAAUACAUGCAAGUCGAGCGAACAGACGAGGAGCUUGCUCCUCUGACGUUAGCGGCGGACGGGUGAGUAACACGUGGAUAACCUACCUAUAAGACUGGGAUAACUUCGGGAAACCGGAGCUAAUACCGGAUAAUAUAUUGAACCGCAUGGUUCAAUAGUGAAAGACGGUUUUGCUGUCACUUAUAGAUGGAUCCGCGCCGCAUUAGCUAGUUGGUAAGGUAACGGCUUACCAAGGCGACGAUGCGUAGCCGACCUGAGAGGGUGAUCGGCCACACUGGAACUGAGACACGGUCCAGACUCCUACGGGAGGCAGCAGUAGGGAAUCUUUCGCAAUGGGCGAAAGCCUGACGGAGCAACGCCGCGUGAGUGAUGAAGGUCUUCGGAUCGUAAAACUCUGUUAUUAGGGAAGAACAAAUGUGUUAGUAACUAUGCACGUCUUGACGGUACCUAAUCAGAAAGCCACGGCUAACUACGUG